rnacentral:snRNA from 1 species
GUGCUUGUUUCGGCAGCACAUAUACUAAAAUUGGAACGCUACAGAGAAGAUUAGCAUGGCCCCUGUGCAAGGAUGACAUGCAAAUUCGUGAAGCAUUCCAUAUUUAA